UCACUGACACAAACAGUCCCUCUACCUCCGCGCUUGACAGCUCGGCUCAAAUCAAACAGGGAGCGAAAUACUGCUAUUCCGAGGUCGGGAACGGUGACACUCGAGAGGGUAAAGACGUCCUCAGAAAUUCUUGCUUCCAUCCUUGUUUGGCUGGAUUAAGUUUCCUCCGCGACGUUGCAAUCGGAACAAAUUGAAAGAUCGGAUAGACAGGGAGAGAGGGAACACCCCAGGACUCCGGAGAGAAGAGAAGUUUAUCAGCAAAGUGAAGCAGCAAUGAGAACCAAAUCUCAUUUCAAUUUUCUAAUUCUUUGGGGGCAACUCACAGUUGGUGCAGGAUUCAAAAUCCAGAUGGUUAAUGAGAAUCUAACGGCAAUCAUUAACCAAACUAUUAUGCUCGAAUGCAGCUUCACAAUAGUUGCAUCCUUAGAGAGCAUUGUUGUCACUUGGCAGCGUGCCAUGACAAAUGAGGUUGUCCACAGUUACUAUUAUGGAAAAGACCAGUUCAGCAAGCAAUCCCCUCGAUAUUCAGGCAGGACAAGCCUAUUCUCAGAGGAGUUUAAAAAUGGAAAUGCUUCAUUGAGACUAGCCAAUGUAAGCCCAGAGGACAAUGGAACAUAUCAGUGCUAUGUCAGUGGAAAUGAUAAAGGAAUAAUUUCUGUCAUACUUGCCGCAUACUACAAUGAGCCAACGCUGAUCAUCAAACAGAAACUGUUGAGUACCAUUUUAACAUUUGAGUCCUGUGGCUACCCAAAGGCUGAUAUUUCUUGGUACGGUGGAGACAACCUAGAUGCUUCCUCUUUGUCCAAAAGUUCCUACAAUCAAACUGCUGAUGGUCUGUAUACAGUCCGAAGCACCAUGGAAAUCAAUGUCACAGAAAGAAACCUAACCUAUACAUUUGUUUUAAGAAAUGCUGCUGUCAAUCAAAUUAUCUCACGGACACUUACUUUGUUAAUUAGAGGUAAGCUCUGCUGUUUUUUCACCAAUUUUCCGCCUCUCCUUCUCUCCUGAAGGGUCAAGGCCGCUAUUGUACUUGGGUGGGUUAUUGCUUACAUGUGCAUUACUGGUGGAUUUUAACGGGAAGAUCUACCGUGGAAACACCAGAGUUGCAACUGACUUUCUGUCUGCAAGGGUGCAGUUUCAGAGUGGGUCAGUAGGGCUUUUUGACCAAUUGUCAUUUGGUACUGCGGUCCCAGCUAUUAGCAGCUCGUUCAGCGUACAUUGAACGCAAGACUACAUAAUUCAGCUGCUCACUAGACAGAUUUAGGGAGCCACUGGAAGAACUGAGCUUUUCUUUUUAAUACCUUUUGGGGUGAAAAUUGGAUUUAGGCCCAAUGUGGGACACGGAGAUCAAAACGCAUGAUGGCCCGACUUAAUCUGCUCUCCAGCUUUUAUUGCAAUAAAACACGUUUUGACCGGCUGGAACCCCAGCUGCAUACGUGUAACUAGCUUGAUGUACAAGAAGUCUGGAGUUCUUAAAGAGCAGCUGCACUCGUACAACAGGAGAUGCCGUAACACUUUCAGGAAGGCAUGGCUGGAAGAUCGAGGGCAGCAGAUGGAGCAACCAGCCAGAGAGAGGGCUCCCGGGUUUGUUGGAUGUGGCUCUAAAGGCUUUGAUAAUGGGAGGUUAAAAGGACGAGCGGCUGGAUACCCUCAAAGCACCAACCUGAGAAGGAGAGGGUAGCCAGAGGAUUCAAGCCUGGAGUCAGACGUUUCCCAUGAUUAUUACAAAGUCAUCAUAAUUUUUGUUCUGGUGCCUACAUUCAAUUUAAUAACUCUGA